rnacentral:rRNA from 1 species
CAAAACUUUCAACAACGGAUCUCUUGGUUU